UUCUGCUUUUUUUGCUAGUCAAAGAAGUAAGGUGGUGGCUGGUGGUGAUUUCCGACGACAACACUAGGUGGUGGAAGGUGAGGCAGUCAAUAGAUAGGUGGAGCUUCACCACCGGUUGCUACACACAAAAAAACCCCAAAUUAGGGGUAAAAAUCAAUAUCAAACAACAAAAACAAACAAAUUAAGGGUAGAAAUGACCUUGGAUUCGACAAAUCGCUGGAAAUUGAAGCUGGGAACUCGAUUUCGUCGCUUGGGAGGAGAAAGUGCAGAAAACAAUCGCUGUGUGCAAAUGAAAGAAAGUUGCGUAUCUGUUUUAGGGUAUACCCCUAUGCCGACGACAUGUCGUCGGCAUAGGGUUGACAUAAACGACGACGUAUUACUUAAUCCUGGAAUAUAAAUAUAAAUGUAAAUUAAAAAACCUGUCCCGACGACUUGUCGUCGGCAUAGGAUGUCCAAAAACUACGUCGUUUUCCUUUUUC
rnacentral:lncRNA from 1 species